rnacentral:rRNA from 1 species
CACGUAGGCACCAAGCGUUGUCCGGAUUUAUUGGGCGUAAAGAGCUCGUAGGCGGUUCAGUAAGUCGGGUGUGAAAACUCUGGGCUCAACCCAGAGACGCCACCCGAUACUGCUGUGACUUGAGUACGGUAGGGGAGCGGGGAAUUCCUGGUGUAGCGGUGAAAUGCGCAGAUAUCAGGAGGAACACCAGUGGCGAAGGCGCCGCUCUGGGCCGUAACUGACGCUGAGGAGCGAAAGCGUGGGGAGCAAACAGG